AUUGAACGCUGGCGGCAGGCCUAACACAUGCAAGUCGAGCGGAGCGGCGGACGGGUGAGUAAUGCCUAGGAAUCUGCCUGGUAGUGGGGGAUAACGUCCGGAAACGGGCGCUAAUACCGCAUACUAUCAGAUGAGCCUAGGUCGGAUUAGCUCGUUGGUGGGGUAAAGGGCUACCAAGGCGACGAUCCGUAACUGGUCUGAGAGGAUGAUCAGUCACACUGGAACUGAGACACGGUCCAGACGCCUACGGGAGGCAGCAGUGGGGAAUAUUGCACAAUGGGGGAAAGCCUUAUGCAGCCAUGCCGCGUGUAUGAAGAAGGCCUUAGGGUUGUAAAGUACUUUCAGCGGGGAGGCGUUACCCGCAGAAGAAGCACCGGCUAACUCCGUGCCAGCAGCCGCGGUAAUAC
rnacentral:rRNA from 1 species